rnacentral:rRNA from 1 species
GCAUCGAUGAAGAACGCAGCGAAAUGCGAUAAGUAAUGUGAAUUGCAGAAUUCAGUGAAUCAUCGAAUCUUUGAACGCAUAUUGCGCCCAUUAGUAUUCUAGUGGGCAGGACCGUUCGAGCGUCAUUUCGACCCUUAAGCCUUGGUUGCUUAGUGUUGGGAGCCUACGGCAACGUAGCUCCUCAAAGUUAGUGGCGGAGUUGGUUCACACUCUAGACGUAGUAGAUUUUUAUCUCGCCUAUCAGUUGGACCGGUCCCCUGCCGUAAAACCCCCCAACUUCUUAAAGUUGACCUCGAAUCGGUUCAGACAAACUCGCUAAAUUGAAGCAUCUUAGUCAGCGAAGGAAAAGAAACCAACAGGGAUUGCCCUAGUAACGGCGAGUGAAGCGGCAACAGCUCAAAUUUGAAAUCUGGCCCUCGGGUCCGAGUUGUAAUUUGUAGAGGAUGCUUUUGGCGCGGUGCCUUCCGAGUUCCCUGGAACGGGACGCCUUAGAGGGUGAGAGCCCCGUACGGUUGGACACCAAGCCUCUGUAAAGCUCCUUCGACGAGUCGAGUAGCUUGGGAAUGCUGCUCUAAAUGGGAGGUAAAUUUCUUCUAAAGCUAAAUAUUGGCCAGAGACCGAUAGCGCACAAGUAGAGUGAUCGAAAGAUGAAAAGCACUUUGAAAAGAGGGUUAAACAGCACGUGAAAUUGUUGAAAGGGAAGCGUUUGCGACCAGACCUUUUCCUAGCGGAUCAUCCGGUGUUCUCACCGGUGCACUUCGCUAGGUUUAGGCCAGCAUCGGUUUCUGUAGGGGGAUAAAAGCUCUGGGAACGUAGCUCCUCCGGGAGUGUUAUAGCCCUCUGCAUAAUACCCUUACGGGGACCGAGGACCGCGCUCGGCAAGGAUGC